rnacentral:piRNA from 1 species
UGAUACUGUCACCUGUGCCACAGCAUCCC